GGGUGAGUAACACGUGAGUAACCUGCCCGGGAGUGGGGAAUAACACUUGGAAACAGGUGCUAAUACCGCAUAAUGUGCCUUUUCCGCAUGGAGAAGGUACCAAAGAUUUAUCGCUCUCGGAUGGACUCGCGUCUGAUUAGCCAGUUGGCGGGGUAACGGCCCACCAAAGCGACAUCAGUAGCCGGACUGAGAGGUUGAACGGCCACAUUGGGACUGAGACACGGCCCAGACUCCUACGGGAGGCAGCAGUGGGGGAUAUUGCACAAUGGGGGAAACCCUGAUGCAGCGACGCCGCGUGUAGAAGACGGCCCUCGGGUUGUAAACUACUGGCUUUGGGGACGAUAAUGACGGUACCCAAGGAGGAAGCUCCGGCUAACUACGUGCCAGCAGCCGCGGUAAUACGUAGGGAGCGAGCGUUGUCCGGAAUUACUGGGUGUAAAGGGAGCGUAGGCGGGAAAGCAAGUUGAAUGUUAAAUCUAUGAGCUCAACUCAUAGCUGCGUUCAAAACUGCUUUUCUUGAGUGAAGUAGAGGUUGGCGGAAUUCCCAGUGUAGCGGUGAAAUGCGUAGAUAUUGGGAGGAACACCAGUGGCGAAGGCGGCCAACUGGGCUUUUACUGACGCUGAGGCUCGAAAAGCGUGGGUAGCAAACAGGAUUAGAUACCCCUGGUAGUCCACGCUGUAAACGAUGAAUACUAGGUGUGGGGGGACUGACCCCUUCCGUGCCGCAGUUAACACAAUAAGUAUUCCACCUGGGGAGUACGGCCGCAAGGCUGAAACUCAAAGGAAUUGACGGGGGCCCGCACAAGCAGUGGAUUAUGUGGUUUAAUUCGAAGCAACGCGAAGAACCUUACCAGGUCUUGACAUCUCCUGAGUAGCAUAGAGAUAUGUGAUGUCCUUCGGGACAGGAAGACAGGUGGUGCAUGGUUGUCGUCAGCUCGUGUCGUGAGAUGUUGGGUUAAGUCCCGCAACGAGCGCAACCCCUAUUGAUAGUUGCUACGCAAGGGCACUCUAUCGAGACUGCCGUUGACAAAACGGAGGAAGGUGGGGAUGACGUCAAAUCAUCAUGCCCCUUAUGACCUGGGCUACACACGUAAUACAAUGGCACUUAACAAUGGGAAGCGAAACCGCGAGGCGGAGCAAAUCCCCAAAAAGUGUCUCAGUUCGGAUUGCAGGCUGCAACUCGCCUGUAUGAAGUCGGAAUUGCUAGUAAUCGUGGAUCAGCAUGCCACGGUGAAUACGUUCCCGGGCCU
rnacentral:rRNA from 1 species